CUCUGGCAGUUUGAGUGUCAUUCCCAGUUAGUGGAGAGAAAAUUCAGAUCAGAUAAGCUUCCACCUGCUUCCAGUAGAUACCUCCACUGCCCCCUGUAGUGAGGACCCUACCAAACCACGCCUGCUAGUACUUAGUCUACUGGGUCUGCAGGAUAAAUAAAAACAACUUUCAUGUAUUGGACAAAUGUAUGUUGAAUUAGUGUUUAAUUAAUUAAAAGCACAUUUAAAAUGUGUAACACAAAUACUCAGCUGUACAUUCAAUCCAACUUGCUUUAAUGCUGCACUGGAAUUUGUCUAUAAAGUUGUUAAUCAUAACUGAUCCCUGAUUUGGAUUGAAUAGGGCUCAGAGUCCCAGUAUAUAGGCAGACCCCUUGAUGGUGGCAGAGGGAGAUCUGGAGCAGGGUGGAUCAGCUCUGCAGCCACCAAGGGAAUACCUUUGUUGUGGUAAUUAGGUGUGUGUGUGUGUGUGUGUGUGUGUGUGUGUGUGUGUGCGCGCAUCCAUGUCGGCCACACACUCCAAAUCCCUUGAGUGCCCAUAUCUGUUAUGUCUGCUCCACCUGUCCUAUUCCCAGACUGGAAUGAGCAAUGGGGAGAGUGUUAGGUCAAACAAGCCUCGUUCUCUCCUGAUUAUUUGAAAAGUAUUAUGUUGUCUUGAUAUUCACUGCCAUACAACUGUGUAUUUAUUUCACCUGAAUGCCCCGGCAGCAGAUAGAUCACAUUCACAAGCCCAGUGGUGGAAGGGGAGCCAUGGUAAUCUCUCUAUCUCUCCUGUAUAGCUGCUGCCAAGGCAUAAGCACUUUCCUUUAACUUCCAGGGUCAGAGAAGCAACUGAAUCAAUGGAUUCCAUGUUUCUAGAUGUCUCACCAACAAUGUAUUCUCUUUUCUCUCCCAGGGGACUAAUGGAAAGCUGGCGUCCAAAGCCCCCUGCAGACCUGGCUUCUCACAAAGCUUUUACUCUGUGCUUAUUUCAAGGGAUGUACUGCAAGGCCGGAGCAUACUUCAAGGUUGAGCCAGACCCACACAAUCACAAUCAGCCCAGCAUGAGGAAUGGGAAGAAAGAGAGAACAAGCCUGGCCUUCGGUAGAAAUAAAGAUCUAUAGACCGGACCUGGAGGCUAUCAGAGGCCGUUUUCUAGCUGAUAAACGCUCAAACACACACACACACACCCACACACGCACAGGCGCACACACACACACGGGCGCACAUACACACAUACAUUA
rnacentral:lncRNA from 1 species